rnacentral:lncRNA from 1 species
AGACAACUGUACUCAACACUAGACAGUGUCUAGAUUAGUUCUGCAAAGAAAUAAGGCUUUGCUCUGCAUGGCAUCCACUGAGCUUUUAAAGAUUACAGAUGAGCAACGGUUUCAAAAAAAAAAAAAAGAAAGUUAGAAAAAUCAAAAACAAAGCUUUAUAGCCACUUCAGAAAGCCUGGAUGUUUAACCUGUAAGGAAGUCUGUCAAAUCCUUGUGGAAACCAUAUAGAGAAAAGAUCAAUAGGAUACCUACUGGCUCCAUUAGCUUGAUGUAAAAGGGGGAGAGGGAAGCUGCUCUUCCACAAGAGAAACUACAUUAUUCCAGGGAUUAUGCGGGAUCAGUUCACUUUGCAGAGAAGAAGAAGAGAAAAUGAAUGAAGAUUCUUGGUGGGCCAGGACUGGAAAGAAAGGGCUUGACAGUUCUUAAGUCAAAGGAUGAAAAAGAAGUUCCCUGAUACUGGAAACUGUUUUUAAGCCACAUAGCUGAAGGAACUGAGAAUCAGCUGGCCUUGUGUCUACGGUCUCACUCAUCAGCAUGCUGUCCACCUUAUUCAACUACUUGCAAAUUAAUUGGAUAAUUUUUCCUAAA